AAGGUUAUCCUCAGCCAGAAUUCUCCAGUAACGGCAUGUCUGUGCUGCCUGCAGAAGGUCCUUGGGUUCCAGGAAUGAAAGCACGUAUAGUGCCAACUGUAAAGAGGAAGACCAAAUGUGUCAUGUUUCCUGUGGGCCUGGUCUCUGGUGAUGUGGAAAGCAGGAGUUCACAGGUCUCAACUGUAAAGUAUGUACCAAUAAUUUGCAUAAACUGAUGAAGAUUAAAGACUGAUAAGAACAGGUUUAUUUCUUUACUUGUUAUUUCAGUGUAAACAAAAGCUAAUACAGAACACAGUUGUCUUUUAAGGACAUUCAGCUAAUGCAAAUAACCCAAUGGGGUUUUUUUUAAUGGGUGCAAACAAACCCCAGGUUCAUCAGAUCUGUGAGUCUUUCCUUCUAACAACAAGGAGAACACAAAGAAACACUGAGAUGCAAGAAUUAAAUCAUUGUACCUAAACAAUAUUAAAUAUAAUAUGAUCAAACGACUCAAAAAGUCAUAAGACUGUCCUAUAUUAUUUAUGAAAAGGGUUUUUUCCUGUAUAUAAACUCAACCUUCUGAAUUCCAAUGGAAAGAAGACUUAGAAAAGUCAUGCUUUUAAGUUAAUCCAUGAUACUUCUAAAAUCAAUGACUUUUCUAUCUAAUUCUAUUCACCCCUGUGCAGAGGGCCAGCAAAAAGCCAAUCCAACACUUCAGUUCCAAAAUAAGCCUCUGUGAAUUAAGCUUAUGUGGAAUUUAACUGGUGCAUAAGUCUUGUACUGGUCCUGUGCACAGGAGCUGAAUUCUACCCUUGGUGUGGGUGAACAAGCAAAGGCUAUCUGUGUUUCUGAGAGACACUAUUUUCACAUCUUCUCAACUGUCAUCAGUAGGACCAAAUAUGGUCAAUUUCUCUAGAAGGUAAGUAUCUACAGAGGCUAGCUUUUGAAUGUUGGUGAUAAAAUGGGCUAGAAAAUUAGAAACUUGUUCUAAACAGCAUGAAAUAUAAAAGCUGUCU